rnacentral:lncRNA from 1 species
ACCCAGUAAUGGGAAUUCUGAGUCAAAUGGUGUUUCUGUUUUAGGUUAGGUCUUUGAAGUAAUCGCCACACUGUUUCUCAUAAUGGUUAAACUAAUUUAUAAUCCCACCAACAGUGUAUAACCGUUCUUUUUUCUCCACAACCUCACCGGCAUCUGUUAUUUUUUGACUUUUUAGUAAUAGUCAUUCUAACUGCUGUGAGAUGGUAUCUGAUUGUGGUUUUGAUUUGCAUUUCUCUAAUAAUCAGUGAUGUUGAGCUUUUUAUAUAUGCUUGUUGGUGGCAUGUAUGUCUUCCUUUGUAAAAUGUCUGUUCAUGUUCUUUGUUCACUUUUUAAUGGGAAACAUCCUUCAAGAGAACGGAGUCUGCCCAUAAGAGCAUGGAGCCAAAAUACAGACAGAGACCCCAGAGAGAUCCUGUGCCCCUUCGUCCAUGUGAGAACAGAGUGAGAAGAAGGCCAUCUGUGAGGAAUUGGGUCCUCACCAGACCCAAUCUGCCUGAGCCGUGACCUUACACCGAAUCUGCCUGAGCCGUGACCUUACACUUUCCAGCCUCCAGAACUGUGAGAAAUAAACUUCUGUUUUUUUUUGAUGAAAAUGUGCUGAAAUUGGAAUCCUCAAACAUUGCUGGUGAAAAUGCAAAAUACAGCUGCUAUGGAAAGUAGUUUGUUGGUGUCUCAAAAAGCUGAACAUAAAAUUAUUAUAUGAGCCAGUGAUUUCACUCUUAGGUAUAUUCUCAAAAGAAUUAAAAACGACCAUGCAAACAAAUACUUGUGCAUGAAUGUUCAUUGCAGCAGUAUUCACAGUAGCCAAAAGGUGGAAACAUAACAAGUGUUCAUCAGAAGAUAAUAAAUAAAUGAAAUAGAAUGGAUUCAUACAAAUAUUAUUCAGUCAUUAAAAAUGAAUAAAGUAGUUAUAUAUGCUGUAACUAGGGGAACCUCAAAAGCAUUAUCUAAGUGAAAAAAGCCAGAUACAACAAUCAUGUAUUAUAUAAUUCCAUUCAUAUGCAGCUUCUAGAAUAGAUAAAUACAUGGAGACUGAAAGCAGACUAGUGGUUAUUGGGGCUUGGAGAAGGGGGAUGGGAUUGAUUGCCUAAUGAGUAUGGGAUUUCUUUUAGAAUGAUGUAAACACCUUAGAACUAAAUAGGGGAGAUGGUUGCACAACAUUGUAAAUGGACUUAAUACCACUGAAUUGUACACUUUAAAAAGGUUAAUGGUUAAAUUGAUGUUAUAUGAAUUUUAUCUCAAUUUAAAAUUUAAAUAUUAUAAAAUUUUGUAAAAUGUCUUAAAAUUCUUUCCUUCUAACUACAGUACUAUCUUUGGGUAUCCAGUGAGAUCUGCUUGUGCUUCCACUCUUCACUGAUGAUAUCUUUUUCAUCGUAUGUAAGACUUUCAUUUAUUUAGCCACCUUUCAUACCAUUUCUCUGUUUCCAGCAAGAAAUGUCUCAUUCUUUUCCAAAGUUACAGUUUUUACAUAUGUUGGCUUCGUAACCCCUUCCAGGUCCUGCUUCAUCAAUUAAACCUACUCUUCCUCUUUUCUGUAUACCUGCCAUCCAUAUUUUGUCCUUUCUUCUGGAUCUACACAUUUAACUUGAUUGAUUUAAUAUUGGUAACUUCCUUUACCUUCAUUCCAUAUGAAAACAUCUACCCUUCUUUCUUUAAAUCUUAACAGCACUUAUUCUGAAUGAGGGAGAUGAAAUACAGCUAAGGCACUAGGAUUGUCUAUUGCAUUCGAGAAAGGGUGAGCAAAAUAUAGCCUGUGGGCCAAAUAUGGCCCAACAUCUACUUUGUAAUUAACAUUUUUGGGAACAAGUCACACUUAUUCACUUAUAUAUUGUCUGUAGUUAGUCGUAUUACAAUGGCAGUGUUGAGUAGUGGACACAGACACAAUAUUGCCCACAAAACCUAAAAUAUUUACUAUUUGGCCCUUAUAGGAAAAAUAAUUCAGGUUCCUAUAUUGAAAUAUCAAUAGAUUUCAGAAUUCUAUGUUAGAGUAGCAAUAGGUAUUUUAAGAGAGAAAUCUCCAAAUCUCUGAAUUUACAUGAUAGAAGUGUAUUCUCACCUAAAUUCUAAGAAAUAGCAAUAUGGAUUCAGGAAACAAGCUUGCAGAUGCCUUCCAAAAGUGCCUGGACUUUAACUGGCACGUGGUCAAAAAAAAAAGUGAAUAAUUACAUAGAACUUUUCCUAUUUUUCUUUCUUCUUUAAUAGAAUAUACCUGUAAUUAUUAUAUAUUGCUUCCACCAAUGCCACCUUCUUUUUAUACUUCUACAACUGCUCAAUCAUGCCUCUUCAGGGGUGCAGGCUACUAGUAACUUCUUGGAAGUUUUCUCUCCUUAGAGACCUUUCCUCCCAGUUCCAGAGAUACCUGCAGCAGGCUUUGAAAAUCCUCCUGGAGCUCUGGAUCUUAGCUCUGGAGGGGCCUCUUCAAACUGUUUGGAUUCAGACAAUAUCAAUUCCUGGUGUUUCCUGGAUCUGGCUAAAAUGACAACAGUGACAUAAUGCCAAGUUCUGCUGAAAGGUAAAUGGAGUAGACUAAGAGUCUCCUAUCUCAAUCCAAAGUCGGUUUGGGGGCUUGGACUGGGCAGGUCUUGCAGUAAGAGAAUAAAUAUCGUCAGUGCUUCUAGAGAUGGGAGAACACAACACUUCAGAUAAACUUCCAUUGUCCUGAGAAAAAUUGCUUUCCUUGUGUGUCUGUUAUUUAUUUAUUUAUUUAGAGACGGGAGUUUCACUCUUUUUCCCCAGGCUGGAGUACAAUGGCACAAUCUUGGCUCACCGCAACCUCUGCCUCCAGGGUUCAAGCGAUUCUCCUGCCUCAGCCUCCCAAAUAGCUGAAAUUACAGGCAUGUGCGACCACGCUCGGCUAAUUUUGUAUUUUUAGUAGAGACGGGGUUUCUCCAUGUUGGUCAGGCUGGUCUCAAACUCCCGACCUCAGGUGAUCCGCCUGCCUCGGCCUCCCAAAGUUCUGGCAUUGCAGGCAUGAGCCACCGUGCCCGGCCCCCUGUGUGUCUGUUUUAUACAACACACUCCUUAAACCCUUUGACUCUAGUUGGAGCAAGAACCAGUUACAACGUACCAUAUAUCAAAGGACAAAACAUAAUGAAUUCAUCUACUGAUCAACAAUAUGAGUGUUUUCUUCUUCCCAAUCCUCAGUAUUCUACCUUUCUCUUGUAUUUCAAAAUACUGAAAUACAAUAUUUUAACUGUUAUUAAGUAUCUCUUUCUUUUUGAAAUCUGUGUUCUUGUCUUCUUUAAAGCUCCUUGUUUUCCUCAUACAUAUCCAAGAUUAUUCCACCUUUAUCUCUCUUGCUAAAUCUGUAUCCUAGCACCAACUAGUCAUUGCCCUCACAGUUAAUUAUGACCAGAUUCUGUACUUAGUUUUAAUAGCUUGUUUGUCAAAAGUUGUCUGCAGUUUCCCAUUUCCCACAUUCAAAGAUCUCCAUUAUUUUAUCAUUUACAUUUCUAUGUACUCAGUACUAAUGUUUUUUCAAUAAUUAAAUGUAACAUACAGAAUAACAUGUAUAUAAAGUAUUUAAGUGCAAUGUAGAAAUAAAGUGAGCAAUUGUGUAAACAAUAUUCUAAUUCCUGUGAUCAGAAAUUAGAAGCCGGUAGAUCUCUAAAUUAUUAUUUUUUUAAUUAUAAGGCCUGCCCACUGCCUUCAGAUAAAUACUUUCCUGACUGAUUCCCUUUUGUUCUGAUUUUCUUCUGUUCUGAUUUUCUUCAUAGAUUUUAUCACCUAAGUUUUCAUCUCUAAACUAUAAUUUCGUUUUGCAUCUUUUGAAUUUAUAUUAAUGUAAUCAUACUUUUCAAGUUCAUUUUGGCUAGCUUAUUUCCUGCAGCAUUACAGUUUAAGAUGCAUCCAUGUUCCUGCACACUGCUACCAUUUGCCUUUUAUUGCAGUAUAAAGUCUAAUUGAAUAUGCACUUAUUUCAUCAGCUAUAAUAUUUGUGAGGGAUAUUGAAGUUAGUUCUAGUUUUGGCAAUAAUAAUCUACAGCUUAUGAACAUUCUAGUAUGUACAUUAUGGUGUUCAUAGGGGAAGUUUUAUAAACAGCAGAAAUAAAAAUUGUGGCAUAAUAGGACAUGUGUUAUUUUAAAUGUUAUUAGAUGAUGUCAAAGGUUUUCUAAACUGAAUUUACCAAUUGAUAUCUCAAUUAGCAAUGAAUUAGGGUUCCCAUGUCUCUGUAUCUUUCUUGUAAUUGCUUUUAUGUACAAAAGCUUUCCUGAUUUUACAUUUUUUUACACAGAUAAUGGCACAAUUAAUUAAAAACUAUAUUUUCAUCAUUCUUUAAUAACUUCUAAUAGCUUUUAAAAUGUUUCGUGAUUAUCUUUCCCAUAUCUGGUUGCAUGUGCUUUAAAGAUGUCAUAUAUUUUGAUGUAAUUAUAACUGGUAGUUUUUAAAAGUUCAUUUUCUAAUUAGUAGAUUAUCUGCAUAAAUAAAAUAUCUAUUUUUACAUAAUUUUCAUAUAUAGCAGCUAUAUCAAAAAAAUCUGAAUGAUUGUAAUAUUUAUCUGGAGAUUACUUUUCAGAUGUUUUUCAUAUAUCAUCUCGCUUUUGUAAACACUUGCAGUUUGUUUUUACCUCUCCAAUUAUUUCACAUUUUUUACUUUGUUUUCUUAUAUUUACUUAUAUGCAUUUUUAAAUUAACAUUUCAAAAUUAAAUAUAUUUACAGUGUUUUGUUAUAUGUAUACAUGUGAAUAAUUAAAUCAAGCUACUACCAUCUGUUACUUGAAAUACUUUUCAUUUGUUUGUGAACAUUUAAGAUAUUUGUUGGCAUUUUUCAAGAAUACAGUACAUUAUUAACUGUAGUCACCAUGCUCUACAGUAGAUCUUCAGAACGUAUUUAUCUUGUUUAACUGAAACUUUGCACCCUUUGAGCAACAUCUCCUCAUUCCCCUGGACCUUACCACCACAGCUCCUGUCAACCGCCAUUCUACUUUCUGCUUCUAUGAGUGACUAUUUUAGAGACCACCUGUGAGAUCGUGCUGUUUGUCUUUCUGUGAUUGGCUUAUUUCACUUAGCAUGCCAUAUUGCAUAUUUAUUCAUAUUUUUGCAGAUGACAGGAUUUUUUUUUAAGUCUGAAUGGUACUACAUUCAUUUUAUUUUUUACCUUUGAUUAUACACCCAGAAAUAGGAUUGCCAAAUUAUCUUUCUAUAUUGUAAAAAUUUGAGGAGCCACUAUAUUGUUUUCCAAAAUGAUGGCUCCAAUUUAAAUUUCUACUAAGUGCAUACUAGGAUUUCCUUAUAUCCACAUCCUCAGCAGCAGUUAUUGUUUACUUUUUUGAUAACAGCCAUUUUAAUAGUCAUGAGGUUUGAUUUUUAAUGGUUCAUUGUGGUUUGAUUUUGCAUUUCCCUUUUGAUUAAUGAUGUUGCAUAUAUUUUCACAUAUCCAUUGGCCAUUUGAAGUCUUUUCUUAAGAACUGCCUGUUUAGGUCUUUUGCCCCUUUCUAAUUGGAUUAUUAUCAUUAUUUUGCUAUUGAAUUGAGUUUAUUAUAUAUUUUAGAUAUUGACUCUUUAUCAAAUGUAUGGUUCACAAAUACUGUCUCCCAUUCUGUAAGUUAUCUCUUUGUUUAUUGUUUCCUUUGUAAUGCAAAGCUUCCUAGUUUGAUGCCAUCUUAUGUUUGGUGUCACCUUCGUUGUUGUGCUUUUUGGGUAAUAAUAAAAAAAUUAUUACCCAUACCAAUGUCAAGAAACUUCUUUCAUGGUUCUUUCUAGCAGUUUUAUAGCUCAGUCUUACGUAUAUGUCUUUAAUUCAUUUCAAACUGAUUUUUGUAUAUGACAUGUGAUAUGGGCCCAAUUAUAUUCUUUUGCAUGUGAAUACCCAGUUUUCUCCAACAUCAUGUAUAAAAUAGAUUGUCCUGUUCCCAUAAUGUUUCCAGCACCUUUGUCAAAAUUUGAUUUACUGUAAAUAUGUGAAUUUAGUUUUGGUAUCUGUUAGUUUCCCUGCCAUUG